CUCAACUAACUGCUCGGUGGCGCCGCAGCGGCUGCCGGCAGCAGGCGGAGGCGGCCACACCGCCGGCUCCUCCGCCAGGCACGCCGCACCACGCCACCGCCCUCAAGCCUCUCCUGCCCCGAUCCAAGCCACAGCCAUCUCCUGCCCCCCAAGGCCCCAACGCCGCCACGCACAGGCUGCCGCGUGUUGUUGCCGCCCCGCUCCUUAAGGAGACAGUCCACAAAACCGCCGAUCUGUGGCUGGAGCUGAUGCUUCCCUCCAUGGAAGUCUGGAGCGGCGGUGUAGAAUGACCUCCCUCGGUCUGCAAGACUGCAACUCAGCACUAGUGAUGUUGCAGCUGGCGGUUCUUUCUGAGUUACUGUCACCAGUCACCGAGCUGCACAGUGCCCAGAUUCGCGCUGAAGAGGCAAUUGAUCGUUUUAGUAUAUCUUUCGAAAAAAAAAUCUUUUUAGUAUCACAGGCAAAGAUCUGCGUCAAGCUGACAGACGGGCAAGCCGCGAAAUUCUGUGAGAAGGCAUUUCGGUGGAUGCUGAGCACACGAGGCAGAAGCCAGUUUUUGGAUGUUGCCGACGUGCACGGUAUUCUAUUGUAAGCUUAUGUAAAUAUGAUCUUCUAAUUCUAUAGGUGACCGGUUAAUUAAGGGAACCCUGACCCUUUUUGUUUUACUUUGUUCCAAUUACUAGUUAAUGUAAAUCUUUUCGGAAAGGAGAAAAAGGUAUAGCUUUCAGUCGGAAGUCUUUCUUCUUUGACUUAAAACUACAGAACGUAAUUGAGCAAAACCAUUGAGUUUUCUAUGGCA